AGUGGGAGCUGGUCUCCGCGAUCCUCCGCCGUAUCGUCGCCGGCGGCGGCGUUGUCCAAUCCGUCGAUGUCCACAGUGUCCGCUUUCUCCGAUGAUCGCCGAGGACAUGAGCGCCAAUAAAUCUGUCGCCGUCAGAGAGACAAAAUCGAGGUAUGUGUGUGAUGUUGUAUUUCAGAUAUUCAGUGUCCAACACAGAGUUCGAUUACAGCUUUUAUCCCUCACACACGCCACGGCCCACACGACCCAACACCAUUACAAGAUACGGCCCACACUUAUUUAUUGUGCCCCAUCCGGCACGCCAGCCUUGUCACCAUCUUUAGGCAUCACCUCCCGCACUACCGGCUCUCGCUUCUUCCUCCCUCGCCUUGCUCUCCCUGGUUGUCAGGCGUGACAUCUGCUCCCUCCUGAGUGCUUGCUUGUCCCCAAGCAACAACAUAUGGAAAGCACUGACGCACCACGUAAAAGUCUUCCCAAGUUGCUGAAUCGCUGGGAAUAUGGCUCCAGCGGAUGAGUACCUUUGGAACAGCGCGACCACCUUUCUUUACCAGGCGCCUGUCCAGAAUCUCUUCAGGAACGACAUCCUGUUGAGCCAAGUCAUUGUAUCAAGGCAAAAUAGAGAAAACUGGGGAGUAAUUGGCAGUGAACAGCUUCAAUUGCGACAUGUGAAAGACAGGAUGGAUCUGGGCAGACGAAGGUAACUCCAGGCGAUAGGCAACUUUACCAAUUAAUAUUACCAAUAUUCCUCUCACUCCACUUAUGGAGCCCCUUAGUAAGCUGCUGAAGCUUUACCUUAGCCAUGGCAACCUGCACCUUAAUAUUACUCUUAUAGGUAUGACCGUUAGCCCACCACUCCAAGGCUUUAACCAUCUUGUCACUCUUCAUCAUCUCACCAUUGGCCACCUUGACUGCUGCCAGCCCACAUUUGAUCAGUGGUAACCCCAAUCUGUCAACCAUAUGCCUGCUGAUGAAGCUGGCUGACCUUCCGGAAUCCACCAACACAAGCAUCACUUGGUUCUUAAUGAGGGCCCUCACUCCCAUGCACUCCUCUAAAGUGGUACCAGUGAUAGCAUGCAACGACAACAGAUACUCCUCACUUUUCUCCUUUUGCUCAAUCUUACCCAACAUUUCCUCGGUCAGAGUCAUUCCCAAACCUUCAGCAGACAAUGCGCAUUCAGCUGCAUCUGCAGUUUCUUUGGACACUUGGCUUGGUGGCCUGGUUCAAAAAAAUUUCCCACACGUAAAAUAAAGUACAUUUUGUCUACAAUACUCCUUAACUAGUCGUUCCUUUGACAACUCCAUUGGUGUGUUCUGAACUCGGGUUUCAGGUUGAGGAAGAACCACUGAACCGGUGUUGUACAACUAACUUCAAUUUUUUGCCUCUGCUUCUCCAACACCAGUUUCUGCAUCUGAGCGAGUAAAGCUGCUCGGUCCACAGUAGACAGCAAAUGAGACUGCACUGGACCCUGCAACUCCGGUUUCACUCCUUUCAUAAACUGGGAAACAUAAAGUGUCUCAUGCAACUUGGGGUUAUGCGCUGCUGUCGAAUACCGAAUUUCCUCAAACUCCUUCAGGUAAUCUUCUACAUACCCCUUUUGAUACGAGUUCAGCAGAUUGUGCAUCGCCUUGGGAUAUUCCUCUGCCCCAAAUUUUGCUUUCACCGCCUCACCAAAUUCCUCCCAAUUUCCCAGCCCGUGCUCUGGUUUGUAAAUCUGAAACCAACGGGAUGCAUUUCCCUCCAUAUGCAAAGAAGUAGACGUGACCCUCACUGUUUCAAGAACACGGUACAUAACGAAAAAAUCCACACACUUCGCUAACCAGAUCUUCGGCUCAACCCCUUCAAACUUUGGAAAAGUUGGCCUAGGUAGUGGAACAUGCUGAUAAUCCUGAUCCUCCUCCCGACGAGAAUUUCCCUCGCGUUGCUGGACUGGAGAAAUUCCACGAUGCCUUUGGGGUUGUGGAGGAGUGUUGAGUCGUGCGUUCAGACGUGGUUCCCCGUUCGGGCGCUCCCCGAUCGGCGUCUCCGAGAACUCCAGAUCCGGAGCCAUCAUCUCCAGCCUCAUCUCCGCCACCACCUUCCUCGUCUAUUCCAGCUGUUGCGCCAACCGCACCCGUUCCUCCGCCGCCUUCUGGGCCACGGUCGCCGUGAGCUCCGCUUGGACCAUCAGUUGUUGUUGCACCGCAUCCACUCCUUCAACCUUCUCCGACAGCCGAUCCAGCUUGUCCAUCAUCCGAUCCCCUUGCUCCUUCUCCUAGUUGUCCAUGGUGUCCAGGAUAAACUGGGUCUACAUAGAUGGCUUAGGCACCGGCGCCGUGGCGACUACCCACGCCGAGGACAAAGGGCUUUGAUACCAGAUGUUAUGCCCGUGGCCGCCAGCGACGAUCGCCGAGGAUGUGAGCGCCAAGAAAUCUACCGCCGUCAGAGAGACAACGUCGAGGUAUGUGUGUGAUGUUGUAUUUCAGAUGUUCAGUGUCUAGAACAAAGUUCGAUUACAGCUUUUAUCCCUCACACACGUCACGUCCCACACGACCAACGCCAUUACAAGAUGUGGCCCACACUUAUUUAAUGUGCCCCAUCCGGCAUGCCAGCCUUGCCGCCAUCUUCAGGCAUCACCUCUCGCACCACCGCCAUCAACAUUGUCUACCUCUUUGUCAACUCGAUCCAGCAAUGCAUGAAGCAUGUUGAGAUUGAUAUUCACUUUGUCCAUGAGCACGUCGUCGUCGGGGACGUUCGUAUCCUCCACAUCCCAACAAGCUCGCAUUUUCCAGUCAUCUUCACCAAGGGUCUUCCAUCCUCGGUGUUCUUGGAGUUAUGGUCCAGUCUCAACAUCUACCGUGGCUAGAGUUUCGACUGUGGAAAGUGUUAGACAGUAAUUAUAUUAUGCCCGCUUUUAUGGUUAUGUAGGUGUGUGUUGGCUAUGUGUUAUGGGCCUAGCUGAGCCGAGCCCAUGUAUAGCCUAUUAGGCCUAAUAGGGUUAGGGAAACCCUAGACCUAUAUAUUAUAAUCCCUACACCAAUCAAUACAUCUUCGAAUCAUUCUCCUAAAUCCUCUGAUAAUGUUCAAAAUGAAGUGCCAAGGGGUUUGAAUCUAAAGUAAUGGGAUUUUACCUAUAAGUACAUCUAGUUUCUUGAAUGAUGUUGUUUUCUAUGAACCUAUAGUUGCCUUUUGAAAAUAUUGCCUUAAUAAUUAUUUACAACACUGAUUAUUCUAUAAACUUAUUUGAGCGACCCGAGCCUCUACCUCAACCUCGUAGGAAGACCGAACCGAGCCGCACCGAGCGGAGACUGGCUCGACUCAGCUCGUUUCUAGCCCUAGAAAUUUGGUCACCAAUUUGUGGAUAUUAUUUGUCUUGGUGGUGGUAUUGUUGUUUCACAUUUAACUGAUUCACAUUUUACCAAUAAGUUCCUACUGUAGCAUAUCCACCAUUGGUGAAACUUCUUCAGGUUAGCUAUUAUAGCAAGCAUGUGCUCUCAGGGCUCGUGAUCUCUACAGGUGGAUUGCAAGUGUCUUUGAAGAAAACUUCAACGUCAGCUUUGGUAGGGUAUCUCCAGGAUUCAGACAUCAAUACUAAUUGUGAAGGGAAAAGUAGAGAGUAUAUAUUGAGUUGUGAUCUCCUAUCGGUCCUUCAGCACUACCAGAAAUGUGAUCGCGUAAUUACUCCCACAUUGAAGACUAUUGAGGCUCUCGAGUAAAAAGGUUUUCUUGAACAAGGAGGGGUACAGUGAGUUCUACGGUGGACUGGUAGAUUCGGCGGGUUUUGAGAUGAAGGGAUCCAAGGAUUUCACAAAGUUAUGUGCAGGUCCCUCAAUCCUUGGAUACAUUUCUUCACAGUCAGAUGGAAUUUGCACUACGGCAUUUUCUCAACUCCUCACAUUCCUAGGCCACAGAUACCCCAAGAUAGCAUUUAUCAUUUCUUGCCUGAGAACGCAGAACUCCGUGCAAGGAUCAGCUCAGCUGAGCUCAAAUACUCUGCAUUCUGCAAUCUUACAGAUCCGAAAAGCUGCAGCCGACCAGGUGUACGUGUACCUUGUGCUGCUGCAAAAUGAUGGUCUUAUUACGUCGGAGAAUAUGGAUAAAGCCCGGGAAUUACUUGUGGAGACAUGCUGGGAAGGAGAUGUGAAGGAAGCAGCGCAGGAGGUCAGAAAUCAACGAGAUGGCUGGUCACCACUACACAGGAGUCUGGAAACCAAGAAACAAAAAAGAACGCUUGCCACUUCGACUGAUGAGAACAAAUCUUAUUCGUCGUUGGUCGAUUUCAGUGGAUACUAAGGAUGAUUGGGGUUUUCGUUGGCCUUCCAUCUUAUUUUCGACCAAAAGUUUGUAUGAGUGUUGCUCUCCGCAUUUAACUGUACUAGCGCAGUAGCGCUCACUGUCGAAUGUCGCUAUCUGUUUGGAUGAGUGUGGUUGUUUUGAGAUUUUCGUUAUUUUGUCUGGUGGUGGACUGGUGGUUGGGGUGGGGAGGAGAGAGUUGUACUGCUGGACGAUGUAAUUUUUGGAACGUCUGAUCAAAGUAGUAAGUUACUCUUACA